UCUCUGACGCGGCCGUCAAUCACUGCUCGCGAACUGAUCAAACUGUCAAAAUAGCCCAUGUCGAUCAAAUAGGAGUUAAGAUUCUGUUACGUUAUGGCCUGCUUACAUAUUUUAGAGUACUCUUCUGCUGUAACAUUAGAAGGACUGCUAUGUUAAGUGGGCGGCGCUUGAUUUUGGCAUCAAAUAAUUGAAAUAUGGCGGCGGGGUCAAAAACUUGAGGCAUCUUUUGAGUUGUUUGAAGUUGCUUUGACUGAGCUGGAGCUGCGAAUAGGGGAGUUAUGUAACAAGACAUGUAACUACAUAAUUCUUCCUAAGUAAAUGUAUUUUAUUACAUUGCAACACUGUCUACGUCACCGUAAAGCUGAGCUUUAUAAGGUAUGCCAGCUUACAACCACUCCAAACAAUGGGUACAUUUCUUCUAGUAUUGUGAUAUGCUUAGGUAUGUAACACUUGCUCUUUACAUGAGUACUUCUAUCCAAUACUGCUUUUACCUCAAUGCAUUUCAGCUGUUUGCAUUUCUUAUUUAAUAAAAUGUAUCUGACAGGUAUAUUUUACAGUUUAAUACCUUGUACAUUGAUUAUGAAAUCACUCUGUAUGUACAUCUUGGUGAUUGGUGCGAUGCAAGAAUGAAAUGGAACAAAAUAACAUUUCUGCUCAACAAGUGCUGUUUACACCUCAUGCUUGUAUAUUUUGCAGACACUACUUAAUGUAAUUUCACAUAGCAGCAAGAUAUUCCACGCAGGAAUACCUGCAUUAAGCAUUAUUACAUUGUGGUACUACUUCUCUCACUUAAUACUUUGACCUCUGGGUGCUGAGAACAAUAAAAUAAAAUGUGCCCCCCCCUGAAAACAUCCCCGCGUGCACAGCGGUAGUGAGUGCACACGUCCUCACCAGAUGGAGUUGUUGAUCCUCAGCUGCAGAGCACUGGCCUCGGCGCCCUGCAGCCCGGUGAGCAGGCCGGGCUGACUCCUCGCCCCGCGGUCCGCGUGCUGCUGGAGGUCCUCCUCGGCCAUCGCGCUGGGCCACCGUACGAGCGUGCACUGGACGGGGGGGCGGAAAGGCGCGGACGGUGUGAACUCGGGCCUGACUAGGGGAAGUAGAGACAGAUCAGGUGACUGGGACUGGACGGAUGGGGAAGUGAGAUG
ensembl:lncRNA